AAACAGGCGAGGAAAGAGAAUAGUAUAUGUGUGGAAUGCAUCAGAGAGAAGGCGGUUGGUGAAAGCCUUUGCAGGAACACAUUGAACCGGCUCCGGAGCUCUGUAUGAAAAUACAGCGUAUAUCUGCGUUAAAGAUAAAAGAGAGAACAACGGCAGGCAGGACGUCUGCGGUGUUAAUAAGGGUGGUACCGCCGAGAUGCUCGGUCCCUUNN
rnacentral:ncRNA from 1 species